AUGUUUGUACCCUGUUUUGUUCUGCUACCAUGUUGGGAUGCUACCUGUUUUGUGCUACUACCAUGUUGUGCUGCUGCCAUGUUGUUCUUCUACCAUGUUGUUCUGCUACCAUGUUGUGCUGCUGCCAUGUUGUGCUGCUGCCAUGUUGUGCUGCUACCAUGUUGUUCUGCUACCAUGUUGUUCUGCUACCUGUUUUGUGCUGCUACCAUGUUGUUCUGCUACCAUGUUGUUCUGCUAACAUGUUGUUCUGCUACCAUGUUGUGCUGCUGCCAUGUUGUGCUGCUGCCAUGUUGUUCUGCUACCAUGUUGUUCUGCUACCAUGUUGUUCUGCUACCUGUUUUGUGCUGCUGCCAUGUUGUGCUGCUGCCAUGUUGUGCUGCUGCCAUGUUGUGCUGCUACCAUGUUGUGCUGCUGCCAUGUUGUGUUGCUGCCAUGUUGUUCUGCUACCAUGUUGUUCUGCUACCAUGUUGUUCUGCUACCAUGUUGUGCUCCUACCCUGUUGUGCUUCUGCCCUGUUGUGCUGCUGCCAUGUUGUUCUGCUACCUGUUUUGUGCUGCUACCAUGUUGUGCUGCUGCCAUGUUGUUCUGCUACCAUGUUGUUCUGCUACCAUGUUGUUCUGCUACCAUGUUGUGCUGCUGCCAUGUUGUUCUGCUACCAUGUUGUUCUGCUACCAUGUUGUUCUGCUACCAUGUUGUUCUGCUACCUGUUUUGUGCUGCUACCAUGUUGUGGCUGUUGCCAUGUUGUGCUGCUGCCAUGUUGUGCUUCUACCCUGUUGUGCUGCUGCCCUGUUGUGCUGCUGGACGUGUUGUGUUGCUACCAUGUUGUGCUGCUGCCAUUUUGUUCUGCUACCAUGUUGUUCUUCUACCAUGUUGUGGUGCUACCUGUUUUGUGCUGCUACCAUGUUGUUCUGCUACCAUGUUGUGCUUCUACCCUGUUGUGCUGCUGCCCUGUUGUGCUGCUGCCAUGUUGUGCUGCUGCCCUGUUUGUGCUGCUGCCAUGUUGUUCUGCUGCCAUGUUGUGCUGCUGCCCUGUUUUGUGCUGCUGCCAUGUUGUGCUGCUGCCAUGUUGUGCUGCUGGACAUGUUGUGUUGCUACCAUGUUGUGCUGCUGCCCUGUUGUGCUGCUGGACAUGUUGUGUUGCUACCAUGCUGCGUUAUUGUCGUAGGUCUCUCUUUAUGUAG
rnacentral:lncRNA from 1 species